GAUGAACGCUGACAGCAUGCUUAACACAUGCAAGUCCACUUGAAUUUGGGUUUUUAACUUCGGUUUGGGUGGCGGACGGGUGAGUAACGCGUAAAGAACUUGCCUCACAGCUAGGGACAACAUUUGGAAACGAAUGCUAAUACCUAAUAUUAUGAUAAUAGGGCAUCCUAUAAUUAUGAAAGCUAUAAGCGCUGUGAGAGAGCUUUGCGUCCCAUUAGCUAGUUGGAGAGGUAACGGCUCACCAAGGCGAUGAUGGGUAGCCGGCCUGAGAGGGUGAUCGGCCACAAGGGGACUGAGACACGGCCCUUACUCCUACGGGAGGCAGCAGGGGGGAAUAUGGGACAAUGGACCGAGAGUCUGAUCCAGCAAUUCUGUGUGCACGAUGAAGUUUUUCGGAAUGUAAAGUGCUUUCAGUUGGGAAGAAACAAAUGACGGUACCAACAGAAGAAGUGACGGCUAAAUACGUG
rnacentral:rRNA from 1 species